rnacentral:rRNA from 1 species
UACGAAGGGGGCUAGCGUUGCUCGGAAUCACUGGGCGUAAAGGGUGCGUAGGCGGGUCUUUAAGUCAGGGGUGAAAUCCUGGAGCUCAACUCCAGAACUGCCUUUGAUACUGAGGAUCUUGAGUUCGGGGGAGGUGAGUGGAACUGCGAGUGUAGAGGUGAAAUUCGUAGAUAUUCGCAAGAACACCAGUGGCGAAGGCGGCUCACUGGCCCGAUACUGACGCUGAUGCACGAAAGCGUGGGGAGCAAACAGG